UGAGGCCAUAUUGCGUUACAAUACCAGCUCCUGUACAAUCACUAAAGUUAAGCAAUGUCGAGCCUGGUCAGUAGCUAGAUGGGUGACCGCUUGCGAAUACUAGAGGCUGUAC